GACGAACCGUGCGAACGUUGUUCGGAUUCACUGGGCUUAAAGGGCGCGUAGGCGGACUAUCAAGUCAGGGGUGAAAGCCCCCGGCCCAACCGGGGAAGUGCCUCUGAUACUGAUGGUCUCGAGCGGGAUAGGGGCAGCUGGAACUUCCGGUGGAGCGGUGAAAUGCGUAGAUAUCGGAAGGAACGCCGGUGGCGAAAGCGAGCUGCUGGAUCCCUCCUGACGCUGAGGCGCGAAAGCCAGGGGAGCGAACGGG
rnacentral:rRNA from 1 species